UACAGACCGAAGUUCCUGUGCCGAUGUAACAGACACUCUUCCUGAAAGCCUGCUUCAUCUGCCUUAUCCUGCUUCAUCUGCCUUAUUUUCUGAUGUGUUCUCUGGGAGACAAGAGAUUCAGAUGGGGAGAAAAAACUCCAGCUUGACUUCUGUCUUUGCACCGAUUAGAAGGUUCUGUCCUAUGUCUGAUCAACAACAAUAAACUACAGCAGAUCCA